rnacentral:rRNA from 1 species
CCUACGGGAGGCAGCAGUGGGGAAUAUUGGGCAAUGGGCGCAAGCCUGACCCAGCAACGCCGCGUGAAGGAAGAAGGCUUUCGGGUUGUAAACUUCUUUUCUCAGGGACGAAGCAAGUGACGGUACCUGAGGAAUCAGCCACGGCUAACUACGUGCCAGCAGCCGCGGUAAUACGUAGGUGGCAAGCGUUAUCCGGAUUUACUGGGUGUAAAGGGCGUGUAGGCGGGAAAGCAAGUCAGAUGUGAAAACCAUGGGCUCAACCUGUGACCUGCAUUUGAAACUGUUUUUCUUGAGUACUGGAGAGGCAGACGGAAUUCCUAGUGUAGCGGUGAAAUGCGUAGAGAUUAGGAGGAACACCAGUGGCGAAGGCGGUCUGCUGGACAGCAACUGACGCUGAGGCGCGAAAGCGUGGGGAGCAAACAGGAUUAGAUACCCGGGUAGUC